GUGGAUUAAACUCUCCGCGACAGUACCGACAUGUUUACGUACAGUUUCCCGGUCUGUAACCGGGUCAAAGAUUGCAAGAUUGUGAUAGGAGUUGGAGUCCGCCACUGAACCGAAUGGAAAAGACCGAAAAGACAAACGGAGUCGGGUGCCUUCCAGAGCUUGAGGAUGCGGUAGACGUGGUAGAGGUGGUCAGAGAAGGUUCCUAACCGGUGCCAGCACUCGCCUGCACCGGCUGAACGUAAGAUGGUCAAGAGGGUUGGCAGGUUUUUGUCGACUGACUCGAUGUCUUCGCGGAGAAACGGGCGAGAUGAUUCAAUGAGAUCAUGUAGGUGUUUGUUGUUGGCAUGAGAGAUAGAUGAUGAAGUUGGCAUGUUUGUGAUGAUUCGGUACGACCGAUCUGGUACGCGAUACGCAGGUAUUUUAGCGUUUCCUGUGACUAUGGUUUG
rnacentral:lncRNA from 1 species